UCUCCGGUUCUCGUAUGAUCAUCGAAGUUAAGCAACGUCGAAGCUGGUCAGCACUUAGAUGGGUGACCGAACGGGAGUACCAGGUGCUGUAA